rnacentral:lncRNA from 1 species
GGCCUAACCACCUAGGCACGCAGUACAGAAUAUAAGACAUUAUAGUCUCUUGGUCACUAGCUACUCAUCUCUUGGUCUAGCCCUUGAAGCCAUAAGAGCAACAUUAGUAUGGAAAUACUUUUUCAUUCUCUCAUAGAAUACUAGAUACACACAGGUCCUAGGGAUGAUCACAAGCAGACAAUGUCAGCAGCCUCCUUAGGAUGCAUGGAACCAAGACUCCAGGUAUGGACAUCUAGGAGAAGGUGCCCUUCAUACCAAGUUAAUCUCAGUUCUUGCUUAUCUUCCAAUGAGCACACAAGAUUCACAAACCUCAGGUUUUCAAGCCUUGUCCAAAUUCUGUUACUUUAACUGCAAACUCUUCUCUUUGCCAAAUGAGGAUUUUAAGCAUAACAAUACAGAGAUGAAUAUGCUGAGUGGAAUUUAAAAAAAAAACACAAGUAGUAGGCAAGCUCCUUUGUUGCUCAGAAAUAAACUCUAAAUUAAAUUGCAC